rnacentral:lncRNA from 1 species
AAGAAUUAAAUGGAUGAAAUAUGAAGUUUUAUUAAAAGAAAAAGGGGUGAAAAGAACAAAGUUUUGUCCAUCUUUGUUCAUCAUAGCUGAAAGUUAGAGAAGAGAAAGGAGAGGAGAAAGCUCUUGAGUAUUCGGUCAUUAGGAGGAGGAAAAUUGAAGGUAAGUUCUUGGUACCUUACUUCUAUUUUGAGGUUCAUGAGUUCUUCUUGAUUCUACCUUAACUCUUGAAGUAUAUUUUGAUUUUUAGUUGUGUUGUGAGCAUUUAGUCAUGAAUUAAAAUGAAGGAAAUGGUUGUUGUUUCAUGUUCUUUUGAUGAAAAAUGGAAGAUAGGUGAAGUUGAGCCAAACAAAUGAGCAUGCAUGUGCCUUAGAUGCUAAGGGGAAAAAUCGGCUAACAUAUUGUGCUUUAAAAUGAUGAAAUGGAGAUUAUACUUAAGUAAAAUCAUAGAUAUGUGAUGAUUGAUUGGUGAUAUACAUGUUUAAAUAACAAGCAUGCAAGUUAGGUGUGAAAGAGUGAUUUGGUAAUAAAUCUGCUUGGGACAGCAGCAGUAACGUGACUUUGGAAAAUCACCAUAAAUUGUGGGAGAUGAGUUAGAAGCUGCAUAAAUUAUGUAAUUAAAUAUUAAUGAGUCUAGUUUCAAAUGGAAUAAACGAGAACAUAUUUUGAAUUCUGUACAAUGAGAAAUUUGAUUCGUAAUGAAGAGUGGUCAGAUUAGUCAAACAGUGAAACAUGGGAAACUUUAAGAAAAAUCUGGUAUUGAUUGGCCAUACCAAAAAUUCUGAAAAUUUUAUGGAUAAAAGAUAUAUGAGUCUAUUUUCAGGGAAAAUUAACGGCACUUGAUUUGGAGUUUUGUAGCUCCAGUUAUAAAUGAUUUAGUGACUGUUGCUCAGGAAGACAGCUUGCAGUGAAAUUAUGAUUAUGUGGUAAACAUUGACAAAAAUUUGUUAAUAAGUUGCUUAUUGUUUUCUUAUAAGCUUACUAUGAUCUGUAGGUGUGGUUGGCCGAAUAUCGUAAGGGGUUAAUACGUAGUUUGUAUUUGAAUAGUUAGAUUAACGUGUUAGCAAUCCAAUUGUAGGCGGUUCGUGUGUGGAUCUCGUCAGCAUAUCGUCGCAAACAGGUGUGUAACUGACACCCUCUCAUUGACUAGAUUGGCAAAAGUCAAAAAGCCGAAAUGCCGAAAAGUCUGUAUUUUGGGAAUUUGCGAGUGUGCGAAUGCUCGUAAGAUAGUUGGGUUUGUAUAUUUGGUAAUCUAAAGUAAUAAACUGCAGUACGCGCGAUUUCGUACAUUUUGAUAAUUUGGGCUUAAUGGGCCAAAGAUCGAUUCAUGGGCCAACGGGCCCAAUUCGGUAAGUAUGCGCGGUAAGUGUUCUGAUAGUACGUAAAUAGUUAGGAUAUGCAUGAAAACCCUAAAAGCAGCUAAAUUACUGAAAUACCUUUAAAAGUAAAAAAAUUACUGUUAUACCCCUAGGUGCAAAAUUACCGUUAUACCCCUAGGGUUAAUUUUGACUGAAAAGCAUGACGAUCUGAUUCUGUAUGAUGUAUGCCAUGAUUAUAUAUCUGUUACAUGGGGACAUGGGUUAUAUUAUGGAGGAAGCGUUCUGAUGGCUAUGCCACAAAUAUCUGAUCUGGUGGCUCUGCCACAUAUAUCUGUUCUGGUGGCUCUGCCACGAUUAUCUGUAUCUGGUGACUCUGUCACAUUAUCUGUUCUGGCAGCCAUGCUGCAAAUUCUGUGGUGUGUAGCGGUUGGGUGGGUCGAGUUGUCUCCCCACACGGUGUAAGGUUGGUAUGGGGGUGUAUACGGUUGGAUAUGGUUGGGUUUCUACAUAAACAUGUAAUAUCUGUUCUGUUCUGUUCUGGGCCUAUGGGCUUUAUUCUGAAUUCUGUUCUGGGCUAAGGCCAACUUAUUCUAUUUCUGUGGUUUGAGCUGAUAUAGGCUAUGGUUGGGUUAAUUUACACACUGAGUUUCCCCAAACUCACCCAUUUUAUUUUCAUCCACGCAGGUAAUCCCCAACCAUAGUGGGCUUGGAGCUGUGAGGGAAUUCGGAGUGGCCACCCGUUCUGAAAGUUUGAUUUUCUUCUGGUGAACUGAACAUCCUUUUAUUUACGUUUGAAGUUUUGGGUUUUUAAAUGUAAUAAGGCCACUUAAUUAUUUUU